UUUUUUAAGUUCAUGUUGAAUCAUAGGUUGGGGACCCCUGCAGGAAGAUUCAGUCUCAUCAUUGUGGGUCCUGUCUCUACGAAUAUGGAUCACCCCCCCCCCAACACACACACACACACACACACACACACACACACAUCUCAGCAGACAUUUAAUGAGUUUCUGUGGCCAAAAACUUUUAUGACCUGGUGGCUGUUGAAUUGGUAAAGGAUAGAGAGGAGGACUUACAUUAAUUGCAGGAGUUAAAAACUGAAAAAAAAAAACAAACGAAAAACCAAAUGAAUGAAAGGCAAUUUUUUUUUUAAUUGGAGAAAGAAGGAACAGAAGGAGAGGGAGGGAGAACAAGGAUGAAUAAAAUCAUUAACAGGAGUCUCUGCCUUAAAAGGAACAUUAGUGACGAUAGUGGUUCUGAGUGAAAAUGCCACAGCUGAUGCUAGUUGCCAAAGGGAGGAGGCCUGAGGAGGAAAUGGGGAAAAAGCCACGGAGACUAACCAAGAGGGAUUAACAUGCAGGUCCCUGGCCAUCAAGAGCUUAGCAAAAAGGAAAGUAUCAACUGAGGAGAAACUGGAAAUUCUUCAAAUGAUGUCAAGAAGCCAGGGUUCAACAGAAGAUCACCAGGGGUUCAUUGAUGUCUCCUGCUCCUGCCCCAAUCCAUGGUUGACUUCAGGUACUCCAACCAGAGGCUGCAGCCAAUUCUGACACUGGAACUACAAGCAGCCAGUCCACCUCCCCCUCUGGCAGCAACCAGGAACUCCUCACUCCUGGGGGUGAUUCAGCUUCUGGGGCCCCAGUUCCUCACCAACCACAUUCACUGUGACUUCUUUGGACUUCUUUGGAGGACUGCUCCUGUGGCUAAUCCUUUGAACUUCUUCUUUGGAAUUAGUCUUUGGACUUAGCAUCAGUGAGCUGGACUGAAGGAGGAGAUUCUUUCCCUGGAUUCUGUGUCGGCUUGCUGGGUGAGUAGCUGGCCUUCCUUUCCUGGUUUCUGGAGAGAUUGUUUCCGGAGAUUCCUGCCUUGGCUUUGGAGGAAGCUGCGUUGGUGGAACUCUAGCUGAACUCAGACUUUUGGCUGAGGAUUACCAGGAAAUCCACGUGGGGCUGAGCUUCACUUCACCAGAGAAGGGCUGGCAGACUUGUUAAAAUCUGUCUCUCUAGCUACAUUUUUCCAUUUUCACUCUUUCCACCUCUUUGUAAAUAAAGCUGCUAAAAGUCAUUUUGACUUAAGCUGU
rnacentral:lncRNA from 1 species